CCUACGUGAGGCAGCAGUGGGGAAUAUUGGACAAUGGGGGGAACCCUGAUCCAGCGACGCCGCGUGAGUGAAGAAGUAUUUCGGUAUGUAAAGCUCUAUCAGCCGGGAAGAAAGAGAUGACGGUACUUGACUAAGAAGUCCCGGCUAACUACGUGCCAGCAGCCGCCGUAAUACGUAGGGGGCAAGCGUUAUUCGGAAUUACUGGGUGGAAAGGGAGCGGAGACGGUUACAGAAGUCUGAAGUGAAAGGCGGGGGCCCAACCCCCGGACUGCUAUGGAAACUGUAUAACUGGAGUGCAGGAGAGGUAAGUGGAAUUCCUAGUGUAGCGGUGAAAUGCGUAGAUAUUUGGAGGAACACCAGUGGCGAAGGCGGCUUACUGGACUGUAACUGACGUUGAGGCUCGAAAGCGUGGGGAGCAAACAGGAUUAGAUACCCGAGUAGUC
rnacentral:rRNA from 1 species